rnacentral:rRNA from 1 species
UACGUAGGGUGCAAGCGUUAAUCGGAAUUACUGGGCGUAAAGCGUGCGCAGGCGGUGAUGUAAGACAGAUGUGAAAUCCCCGGGCUCAACCUGGGAACUGCAUUUGUGACUGCAUCGCUGGAGUACGGCAGAGGGGGAUGGAAUUCCGCGUGUAGCAGUGAAAUGCGUAGAUAUGCGGAGGAACACCGAUGCGAAGGCAAUCCCCUGGGCCUGUACUGACGCUCAUGCACGAAAGCGUGGGGAGCAAACAGG